rnacentral:rRNA from 1 species
GGAAUCUUCGGCAAUGGGGGCAACCCUGACCGAGCAACGCCGCGUGAGUGAAGAAGGUUUUCGGAUCGUAAAGCUCUGUUGUAAGAGAAGAACGUGUGUGAGAGUGGAAAGUUCACACAGUGACGGUAACUUACCAGAAAGGGACGGCUAACUACGUACACG